GACGAACGCUGGCGGCGUGCUUAACACAUGCAAGUCGAACGUUAAGGCCCUUCGGGUACACGAGUGGCGAACGGGUGAGUAACACGUGGGUGAUCUGCCCUGCGACUUCGGGAUAAGCUUGGGAAACUGGGUCUAAUACCGGAGUAGGACCAUUGGACUUCACGGUUUGUGGUGGAAAGCUUUUGCGGUGUGGAUGGGCCCGCGGCCUAUCAGCUUGUUGGUGGGGUAAUGGCCUACCAAGGCGACGACGGGUAGCCGGGCCUGAGAGGGUGUCCGGCCACACUGGGGACUGAGAUACGGCCCCAGACUCCUACGGGAGGCAGCAGUGGGGAAUAUUGCACAAUGGGCGCAAGCCUGAUGCAGCGACGCCGCGUGAGGGAUGACGGCCU
rnacentral:rRNA from 1 species